rnacentral:misc_RNA from 1 species
GGGCCCACGGCCAUUCCACGCCGGAUCUCCCACCGCUCAGGCGCAUGCUGCGCGCGGUUCCGCAGCACCCCUUACCUUUCGCCGAUUCCACCGGCCACCGUGCCUUCCUCCACCACCAGCCGCGGCACACCCGCGGAACCGCCGCUCGAGCUCGCGCCUGAACCCCCCAAACUCUGCCAAAUUUCGCCAAACCCAGCCGGUCGGACCCCGCAACACAUCGCCAAACCAACCGGGCCGGCCGACACAAGCCGCAGCCCGUGGCGAUGGACCUGGCGUCGAGCGACCUUGCGGCGCUGGGCGCGGCGGAGCUGGUCCGCGUCUCGGCGUCGAUCCCGCGCGCGGCUCCCCGCACCUUCGCGCUGCUCACCGCCUGCCUCGUCUUCCCGCUCUCCUUCGCCGUGCUCGCGCACUCCCUCUUCACCCACCCCAUCCUGCUCCGCAUCCAGGGCGCCACCCACUCCGAGCUAGCGCAGUGGCUCAGGCUCUUCGCCUACCAGUUCCUCUACCUCAUCGUCCUCUUCACCUUCUCCCUCCUCUCCACCGCCGCCGCCGUCUUCACCGUCGCCUCGCUCUACGCCAACAAGCCCGCGUCCAUCUCCUCCUCGCUCACCGCGCUGCCCCCCAUCCUGCCCCGCCUCCUCCGCACCUUCCUCUGGGUCUCCCUUCUCAUGCUCGCCUACCACCUCGUCUUCGCGCUCACCGUCCUCCUGCUCAUCGUCGUCUUCAUCCCCAACGCGUCCGAGUCCGAGUCCGCGCCGCCCUCCCUCGCCUUCGUACUCUUCCUCGUCGUCGUCGUCUUCGUCUUCCUCGGGAUCCACGUCUACAUCUCCGCGCUGUGGCACCUCGCCAGCGUCAUCUCCGUGCUCGAGCCGCUCUGCGGACUCGCCGCCAUGGCCAAGAGCAAGGAUCUGCUCCAGGGCCGCACCGGCACCGCAGCCACGCUUGUCGUCUCCUACUUCGCGGUCUGCGGCGUCACCUCCGUGCUGUUCCGUGCCGCCGUCGUUAAGGGGCGCGCCGAGGAGGGGAGCUUCGGUCUGGCCUUGCCCGGGCGGCUGCUUGUCGGCGCCGUGCUGCUGUGCGUUCUUGUCUGUGUCAAUUUGCUGGGACUGCUCGUGCAGAGCGUCUUCUACUACGCCUGCAAGGCCUUCCACAACCAGCAGAUUGACCGGACUGCGUUGUAUGAGCACCUUGGAGGGUACCUUGGGGAGUACGUGCCACUCAAGAGCAAUAUCCAGAUGGAGAACCUUUGAGAUUGGAGCAUAGGACAAGGGUAAGUUACACACCUCAUUGCUUCAUACUAGCAGUUUCAUGUGGAUCUUUAUCAGAAUAUGAGUAUGGCUUACAAGGG